rnacentral:rRNA from 1 species
UUGUCUCAAAGAUUAAGCCAUGCAUGUCUCAGUACAAGCCAAAUUAAGGUGAAACCGCGAAAGGCUCAUUAAAUCAGUUAUGGUUCCUUAGAUCGUACCAACAUUUACUUGGAUAACUGUGGUAAUUCUAGAGCUAAUACAUGCAAACAGAGCUCCGACCGGAGACGGAAGGAGCGCUUUUAUUAGAUCAAAACCAAUCGGCGGCGUGCUCGUUCGCGGGCACGUCGUCGUUCGCAUUGACGAAUCUGAAUAACUUUCUGCUGAUCGCACGGUCUCGCACCGGCGACGCAUCUUUCAAAUGUCUGCCUUAUCAACUGUCGAUGGUAGGUUCUGUGCCUACCAUGGUUGUAACGGGUAACGGGGAAUCAGGGUUCGAUUCCGGAGAGGGAGCCUGAGAAACGGCUACCACAUCCAAGGAAGGCAGCAGGCGCGCAAAUUACCCACUCCCGGCACGGGGAGGUAGUGACGAAAAAUAACGAUACGGGACUCAUCCGAGGCCCCGUAAUCGGAAUGAGAACAAUUUAAAUCCUUUAACGAGGAUCAAUUGGAGGGCAAGUCUGGUGCCAGCAGCCGCGGUAAUUCCAGCUCCAAUAGCGUAUAUUAAAGUUGUUGCGGUUAAAAAGCUCGUAGUCGAAUCUGUGUCCCGCGCCGCCGGUUCGUCGCUCGCGGCGUUUAACUGGCGUGUCCGCGGGACGUCCUGCCGGUGGGCUUAGCCCUUUCGCGAGGGCGGCCCAAUUACAAUCCCGCCGCGGUGCUCUUUACCGAGUGUCGAGGCGGGCCGGCACGUUUACUUUGAACAAAUUAGAGUGCUUAAAGCAGGCUAAAACUUUGCCUGAAUACUUCGUGCAUGGAAUAAUGGAAUAGGACCUCGGUUCUAUUUUGUUGGUUUUCGGAACCCCGAGGUAAUGAUUAAUAGGAACGGAUGGGGGCAUUCGUAUUGCGACGUUAGAGGUGAAAUUCUUGGAUCGUCGCAAGACGGACAGAAGCGAAAGCAUUUGCCAAAGA